rnacentral:rRNA from 1 species
AUGGACACUGAGCCAAUGAGGUGCGCAUGCUGCGACUUCAAAGAGGAGUGCACCCAGGAGUACAUAAAGAGCGUCAAGGCCAACUUUGGAGGGGAAUGGCUCUGCGGCUUAUGCUCGGAGGCCGUAGGGGAUGAACUCAGUAGAGAGGGAAGGGGCCAGGAUGGCGUCAAAGAGGCUAUCAAGGCGCAUAUGGCAUUCUGCAGGAUGGCUCUGUCAAGCCCAGCUGUACGAGUCGCCGAUGGCAUGAGGGAGAUGCUCAGAAGGAGCUCAAGAGAUAAGGGGAGGCCUUCAACAUCAGCAAAGUCAUGCUCUCUCUAA